rnacentral:rRNA from 1 species
UGGAUGAGCCUGCGUAAGAUUAGCUAGUUGGUGGGGUAAAGGCCUACCAAGGCGACGAUCUUUAGCUGGUCUGAGAGGAUGAUCAGCCACACUGGAACUGAGACACGGUCCAGACUCCUACGGGAGGCAGCAGUGGGGAAUAUUGGACAAUGGGCGCAAGCCUGAUCCAGCCAUGCCGCGUGUGUGAAGAAGGCUCUAGGGUUGUAAAGCACUUUCAGUAGGGAGGAAGGCCAGAGGCUUAAUAAGUCUUUGGAUUGACGUUACCUACAGAAGCAGCACCGGCUAACUCCGUGCCAGCAGCCGCGGUAAUACUGAAGGUGCAAGCGUUAAUCGGAAUUACUGGGCGUAAAGCGCGCGUACGCCGUUUGUUAAGUGUGAUGUGAAAGCCCAGGGCUCAACCUUGGAACUGCAUCAUAUACUGGCAGGCUAGAGUACGGUAGAAGGGGGGUAGAAUUCCACGUGUAGCGGUGAAAUGCGUAGAGUUGUGGAGGAAUACCAGUGGCCAAAGCGGCCCCCUGGAUCGGUUCUGACCCUAAGGUGCCAAACCUUGGGGAGCAAACAGGAUUAGAUACCCUGGUAGUCCACGGGAUAAACGACGUCACCUAGCCCUUGGGAGGGUAACCCUUUUAAUGGCGCCCCUACGCUCUAAGUUGACCCCCCGGGGAAUUCAGGCCCCACAAUAGAAAUCCCAUGGAUUUUCCGGGGCCCCUAAAAAAGGGGGGGGAGGGGGUUUAAUUCCAACCAAUCCCAAAAAAACUUACCUGGCCCUUGAAUUCCUCGGGAAUUUUUUA